UCUUGACGUAGUUCUGUCGUCCACGGCCUCUCGGGACCCUACGUGAAUUCCCCGAUCAAGCUGGAGACGACAGUGAUAGGCCAAAGUUACUGGGUCCCGCCAUGAAGUAUACCGAAUUUCCUGUAGCAACCCAUCCCACGAAGUCCAUAUAACCAUAAACCCUUCCCUCCGCAUCACUUUGUUGUUCGGUGGGAGGAAGCCACGCCGCCUCUUUCGAUCUCUUCUUUCCCAUAUCAUCGACCGCAACUUCUUCUUCUGAAUCUUAGAAGAUAUAACAUGAAGGGAGAACAGGACGGUCUUCCAAAAUUUCCUGCUCGAAAGAUGAAGUUCACCCCUAAGAUACCUCCUCGGAAGGCACCAAAGCCUCUCACAACUAAAACGGAAAAACCUGAAACCAAGGAUGAUGUUGUUGAUAAGGAACUGCUCUCAAAGCUUAACCAUGCGAAGGCUAACGAUGGUCUCAUGAGGAGAUUUCCUAAGAGUGAUAGAAAAGUUGGUCCGUCAGAAGUAGCAUUUGGCCAUGGAAGUUCCUCGUUAGCAAGGUCAUUUCCCAAGGGUCGUGGUACAGGAAUCCAAGAUUCAGAUGGCCUUGAUGUACAGAAAUUUGAGAAAGAAUAUGUCGAGCCUUGGGAUUAUGAUCAUUCAUACUAUCCUUGCACACUUCCCCUAAGAAGGCCCUACUCUGGGAACCCAGAAAUUCUUGAUGAAGAGGAAUUUGGGGAGGCUUCAGCAAGCUUGGGUAUGGAUGAAACUAAAAUUGAUUCAGCCGGGGAACUUGGUCUGAUGGAGAAGAGGGAAGAAACACAAAUGCUCUUCUUUCAGUUUCCUGCAAACCUUCCACUGCCAAAGCAACCUGCUGCAACCACAAACACUAAAGAUGCUGCAGGCAAGAUAGACCGUGCAUUGAAGAAGGGCUGCAAAUUGGAGGAGCUGCCACCGGGGUUUAUGGGUAAACUAUUGGUCUACAAGAGUGGGAAAGUCAAGAUGAAGCUAGGAGAUACACUGUUUGAUGUUUCUCAUGGUUUAUGCGGUUCAUUCGCUCAAGAUGUCGUAGCUAUUAAUACUAAAGACAAGCGCUGUUGUGUACUCGGGGAGAUCGACAGGCGUGCGGUGGUGACCCCGGAUAUCGAUGCUCUGUUGGACUCCAUCAAUGAUCUUGAUUGAUGUUUAACUUUCUAACCCCAAACUUUGAUCAAUUAUGAAUCAACUCCUUCGUAAUCUCAGAGAUAUUGGAAGGCAGAAUGACAGAAAACAAUAGAGACAAUUUAUAUGCUCGCUUGCACUUUGGAGAAAGCUGCAC